rnacentral:rRNA from 1 species
AGCGGCGCACGGGUGAGUAACACGUGGGUAAUCUACCUUUGGGCUCGGAAUAACUCGGGGAAACCCGGGCUAAUGCCGAAUAAANACCACAGUUCAUGAGGACAGUGGGAAAAGCGGGGGACCUUUUCGGAGGCCUCGCACCUGGGGAUGAGCCCGCGGCCCAUCAGCUUGUUGGUAGGGUAACGGCCUACCAAGGCUAAGACGGGUAGCUGGUCUGAGAGGAUGAUCAGCCACACUGGCACUGAGACACGGGCCAGACUCCUACGGGAGGCAGCAGUGGGGAAUUUUGCGCAAUGGGCGAAAGCCUGACGCAGCAACGCCGCGUGAGUGAUGAAGGUCUUNGGAUCGUAAAGCUCUGUCGGUAGGAACGAUGCGUUUGCUGGACAAUACCCAGUGAACCUGACGGUACCUGCAAAGGAAGCACCGGCUAACUCUGUGCCAGCAGCCGCGGUAAGACAGAGGGUGCAAGCGUUGUUCGGAAUUAUUGGGCGUAAAGCGCGCGUAGGCGGAAUGGCAAGUCGGAUGUGAAAGCCCUCGGCUCAACCGAGGAAGUGCAUCCGAAACUGCUAUUCUUGAGUGCCGGGA